rnacentral:rRNA from 1 species
UCUAGCCAGGCGGGUGCUAUACAUGCAAGUCGAACGCGUUGGCCCAAUUGAUUGAUGGUGCUUGCACCUGAUUGAUUUUGGUCGCCAACGAGUGGCGGACGGGUGAGUAACACGUAGGUAACCUGCCCAGAAGCGGGGGACAACAUUUGGAAACAGAUGCUAAUACCGCAUAACAACGUUGUUCGCAUGAACAACGCUUAAAAGAUGGCUUCUCGCUAUCACUUCUGGAUGGACCUGCGGUGCAUUAGCUUGUUGGUGGGGUAACGGCCUACCAAGGCGAUGAUGCAUAGCCGAGUUGAGAGACUGAUCGGCCACAAUGGGACUGAGACACGGCCCAUACUCCUACGGGAGGCAGCAGUAGGGAAUCUUCCACAAUGGGCGCAAGCCUGAUGGAGCAACACCGCGUGAGUGAAGAAGGGUUUCGGCUCGUAAAGCUCUGUUGUUAAAGAAGAACACGUAUGAGAGUAACUGUUCAUACGUUGACGGUAUUUAACCAGAAAGUCACGGCUAACUACGUGCCAGCAGCCGCGGUAAUACGUAGGUGGCAAGCGUUAUCCGGAUUUAUUGGGCGUAAAGAGAGUGCAGGCGGUUUUCUAAGUCUGAUGUGAAAGCCUUCGGCUUAACCGGAGAAGUGCAUCGGAAACUGGAUAACUUGAGUGCAGAAGAGGGUAGUGGAACUCCAUGUGUAGCGGUGGAAUGCGUAGAUAUAUGGAAGAACACCAGUGGCGAAGGCGGCUACCUGGUCUGCAACUGACGCUGAGACUCGAAAGCAUGGGUAGCGAACAGGAUUAGAUACCCUGGUAGUCCAUGCCGUAAACGAUGAGUGCUAGGUGUUGGAGGGUUUCCGCCCUUCAGUGCCGGAGCUAACGCAUUAAGCACUCCGCCUGGGGAGUACGACCGCAAGGUUGAAACUCAAAGGAAUUGACGGGGGCCCGCACAAGCGGUGGAGCAUGUGGUUUAAUUCGAAGCUACGCGAAGAACCUUACCAGGUCUUGACAUCUUGCGCCAACCCUAGAGAUAGGGCGUUUCUCGGGACGCAUGACAGGUGGUGCAUGGUCGUCGUCAGCUCGUGUCGUGAGAAUGUU